rnacentral:rRNA from 2 species
UUUUUUUUGAGAGAAUUUUUUGAUCCUGUCUCAGGACGAACGCUGGCGGCGUGCAUAAUACAUGCAAGUCGAGCGGACAGAAGGGAGCUUGCUCCCGGAUGUUAGCGGCGGACGGGUGAGUAACACGUGGGUAACCUGCCUGUAAGACUGGGAUAACUCCGGGAAACCGGAGCUAAUACCGGAUAGUUCCUUGAACCGCAUGGUUCAAGGAUGAAAGACGGUUUCGGCUGUCACUUACAGAUGGACCCGCGGCCCAUUAGCUAGUUGGUGGGGUAAUGGCUCACCAAGGCGACGAUGCGUAGCCGACCUGAGAGGGUGAUCGGCCACACUGGGACUGAGACACGGCCCAGACUCUUACGGGAGGCACCAGUAGGGAAUCUUCCCCAAUGGACGAAAGUCUGACGGAGCAACGCCGCGUGAGUGAUGAAGGUUUUCGGAUCGUAAAGCUCUGUUGUUAGGGAAGACCAAGUGCGAGAGUAACUGCUCGCACCUUGACGGUACCUAACCAGAAAGCCACGGCUAACUACGUGCCAGCAGCCGCGGUAAUACGUAGGUGGCAAGCGUUGUCCGGAAUUAUUGGGCGUAAAGGGCUCGCAGGCGGUUUCUUAAGUCUGAUGUGAAAGCCCCCGGCUCAACCGGGGAGGGUCAUUGGAAACUGGGAAACUUGAGUGCAGAAGAGGAGAGUGGAAUUCCACGUGUAGCGGUGAAAUGCGUAGAGAUGUGGAGGAACACCAGUGGCGAAGGCGACUCUCUGGUCUGUAACUGACGCUGAGGAGCGAAAGCGUGGGGAGCGAACAGGAUUAGAUACCCUGGUAGUCCACGCCGUAAACGAUGAGUGCUAAGUGUUAGGGGGUUUCCGCCCCUUAGUGCUGCAGCUAACGCAUUAAGCACUCCGCCUGGGAGGUUUUGGUA